rnacentral:rRNA from 1 species
GAUGAACGCUGGCGGCGUGCCUAAUACAUGCAAGUCGAGCGAACAGACGAGGAGCUUGCCCCUCUGACGUUAGCGGCGGACGGGUGAGUAACACGUGGAUAACCUACCUAUAAGACUGGGAUAACUUCGGGAAACCGGAGCUAAUACCGGAUAAUAUAUUGAACCGCAUGGUUCAAUAGUGAAAGACGGUUUUGCUGUCACUUAUAGAUGGAUCCGCGCCGCAUUAGCUAGUUGGUAAGGUAACGGCUUACCAAGGCAACGAUGCGUAGCCGACCUGAGAGGGUGAUCGGCCACACUGGAACUGAGACACGGUCCAGACUCCUACGGGAGGCAGCAGUAGGGAAUCUUCCGCAAUGGGCGAAAGCUUGACGGAGCAACGCCGCGUGGGUGAUGAAGGUCUUCGGAUCGUAAAACUCUGUUAUUAGGGAAGAACAAAUGUGUAAGUAACUAUGCACGUCUUGACGGUACCUAAUCAGAAAGCCACGGCUAACUACGUG